GCUUGUCUCAAAGAUUAAGCCAUGCAUGUCUAAGUAUAAGCGACUAUACUGUGAAACUGCGAAUGGCUCAUUAAAUCAGUUAUGGUUUAUUUGAUAAUUGAAAAUUACAUGGAUAACCGUGGUAAUUCUAGAGCUAAUACAUGCUAUCAAGCCCGACUUCUUGAAGGGUUGUAUUUAUUAGACUUAAGCCAAUAUUCCUUGUGUCUAUUGCGAUGAUUCAUAAUAACUGAUCGAAUCUCAAAUUUGAGAUAAAUCAUUCAAGUUUCUGCCCUAUCAGCUUUCGAUGGUAGUGUAUUGGACUACCAUGGCAGUAACGGGUAACGAAGAAUUAGGGUUCGAUUUCGGAGAGGGAGCAUGAGAAACGGCUACCACAUCUAAGGAAGGCAGCAGG
rnacentral:rRNA from 1 species